UACGUAGGGAGCAAGCGUUGGUCGGAAUUACUGGGCGUAAAGGGCUCGUAGGCGGCCAACUAAGUCAGACGUGAAAUCCCUCGGCUUAACCGGGGAACGGCCUCUGAUACUGGCUGGCUGGAGUUCGGGAGAGGGAUGCGGAAUUCCUGGUGUAGCGGUGAAAUGCGCAGAUAUCAGGAGGAACACCGAUGGCGAAGGCAGUGGUCUGGGCCGGCACUGACGCUGAAUAGCGAAAGCGUGGGUAGCGAACAGG
rnacentral:rRNA from 1 species